GCUUAGUGGUCAGAGUAUUGAUGCGUAAAGUCAAAGGUCUCAGGUUCGAUUCCUGG
rnacentral:tRNA from 1 species